CUACGGGGCGCAGCAGUGGGGAAUAUUGCACAAUGGGCGCAAGCCUGAUGCAGCCAUGCCGCGUGUAUGAAGAAGGCCUUCGGGUUGUAAAGUACUUUCAGCGGGGAGGAAGGGAGUAAAGUUAAUACCUUUGCUCAUUGACGUUACCCGCAGAAGAAGCACCGGCUAACUCCGUGCCAGCAGCCGCGGUAAUACGGAGGGUGCAAGCGUUAAUCGGAAUUACUGGGCGUAAAGCGCACGCAGGCGGUUUGUUAAGUCAGAUGUGAAAUCCCCGGGCUCAACCUGGGAACUGCAUCUGAUACUGGCAAGCUUGAGUCUCGUAGAAGGGGGUAGAAUUCCAGGUGUAGCGGUGAAAUGCGUAGAGAUCUGGAGGAAUACCGGUGGCGAAGGCGGCCCCCUGGACGAAGACUGACGCUCAGGUGCGAAAGCGUGGGGAGCAAACAGGAUUAGAUACCCGCGUAGUC
rnacentral:rRNA from 1 species